rnacentral:rRNA from 1 species
GCUAGGAAAAUUGCACAAUCGACGCAAGUCGGAUGCAGUGACGCCGCGUGGGGGAAGAAGGCUUUCGAGUCGUAAACCCCUUUUGCGAGGGAAGAAGAUCUGACGGUACCUCGCGAAUAAGUCACGGCUAACUACGUGCCAGCAGCCGCGGUAAUACGUAGGUGGCGAACGUUGUCCGGAUUUACUGGGCGUAAAGCGCGCGCAGGCGGACUGGUCAGUCCAGGGUGAAAUCUCCCGGCUCAACUGGGAGGAGUCCCCGGAUACUGCCAGCCUUGAGGUGCCUAGAGGAGAGUGGAAUUCCGGGUGUAGUGGUGGAAUGCGUAGAUAUCCGGAGGAACACCAGUGGCGAAAGCGACUCUCUGGGGGCGACCUGACGCUGAGGCGCGAAAGCGUGGGGAGCAAACCGG